CCUACGGGUGGCAGCAGUGGGGGAUAUUGCUCAAUGGGGGGAACCCUGAAGCAGCGACGCCGCGUGGGUGAAGGAGCGUUUAGGCGUGUAAAGCCCUUUUGGCAGGGAAGAAGAUGACGGUACCUGACCAAGAAGCACCGGCUAACUACGUGCCAGCAGCCGCGGUAAUACGUAGGGGGCAAGCGUUAUCCGGAUUUACUGGGGGUAAAGGGGGCGCAGUCGGCUAUGCAAGUCAGUUGUGAAAGCCCGUGGCCCAACCGCGGAACUGCAAUUGAAACUGGCAGGCUGGAGUACAGGAGAGGUAGGCGGAAUUCCUGGUGUAGCGGUGAAAUGCGUAGAUAUUAAGAGGAACACCGAUUGCGAAGGCGGCCUGCUGGACUGUGACUGACGUUGAUGCACGAAGGCGUGGGGAGCAAACAGGAUUAGAUACCCGUGUAGUC
rnacentral:rRNA from 1 species